UACGAAGGGGGCUAGCGUUGCUCGGAAUUACUGGGCGUAAAGGGCUCGUAGGUGGCCAACUAAGUCAGACGUGAAAUCCCCAGGCUUAACCUGGGAACUGCGUCUGAUACUGGAUGGCUUGAAUUCGGGAGAGGGAUGCAGAAUUCCAGGUGUAGCGGUGAAAUGCGUAGAUAUCUGGAGGAACACCGGUGGCGAAGGCGGCGUUCUGGACUGCAACUGACACUGGGAGACGAAAGCCAGGGGAGCAAACGGG
rnacentral:rRNA from 1 species